UACGGGGGGGGUAAGCGUUGUUCGGAAUUACUGGGCGUAAAGGGCUCGUAGGCGGCCAACUAAGUCAGACGUGAAAUCCCUCAGCUUAACUGGGGAACUGCGUCUGAUACUGGAUGGCUUGGAUUUGGGAGAGGGAUGCGGAAUUCCAGGUGUAGCGGUGAAAUGCGUAGAUAUCUGGAGGAACACCGGUGGCGAAGGCGGCAUCCUGGACCGACACUGACGCUGAGGAGCGAAAGCUAGGGGAGCAAACGGG
rnacentral:rRNA from 1 species